rnacentral:rRNA from 1 species
GACGAACGCUGGCGGCGUGCCUAAUACAUGCAAGUUGAGCGCUGAAGGUUGGUACUUGUACCAACUGGAUGAGCAGCGAACGGGUGAGUAACGCGUGGGGAAUCUGCCUUUGAGCGGGGGACAACAUUUGGAAACGAAUGCUAAUACCGCAUAAAAACUUUAAACACAAGUUUUAAGUUUGAAAGAUGCAAUUGCAUCACUCAAAGAUGAUCCCGCGUUGUAUUAGCUAGUUGGUGAGGUAAAGGCUCACCAAGGCGAUGAUACAUAGCCGACCUGAGAGGGUGAUCGGCCACAUUGGGACUGAGACACGGCCCAAACUCCUACGGGAGGCAGCAGUAGGGAAUCUUAGGCAAUGGACGAAAGUCUGACCGAGCAACGCCGCGUGAGUGAAGAAGGUUUUCGGAUCGUAAAACUCUGUUGGUAGAGAAGAACGUUGGUGAGAGUGGAAAGCUCACCAAGUGACGGUAACUACCCAGAAAGGGACGGCUAACUACGUG